rnacentral:rRNA from 1 species
UACGUAGGGUGCAAGCGUUGUCCGGAAUUAUUGGGCGUAAAGAGCUCGUAGGCGGUUUGUUGCGUCGGCUGUGAAAUCCCGAGGCUCAACCUCGGGUCUGCAGUCGAUACGAGCAAACUAGAGUGUUGCAGGGGAGACUGGAAUUCCUGGUGUAGCGGUGAAAUGCGCAGAUAUCAGGAAGAACACCAACGGCGAAGGCAGCUCGCUGGGACGGAACUGACGCUAAGGCGCGAAAGCGUGGGGAGCGAACAGG